AGAGUUUGAUCCUGGCUCAGAUUGAACGCUGGCGGAAUGCUUUACACAUGCAAGUCGAACGGCAGCACGGGAGCUUGCUCCUGGUGGCGAGUGGCGAACGGGUGAGUAAUAUAUCGGAACGUAUCCAAUAAUGGGGGAUAACUAGUCGAAAGAUUAGCUAAUACCGCAUACGCCCUGAGGGGGAAAGCUGGGGAUCUUCGGACCUAGCGUUAAUGGAGCGGCCGAUAUCUGAUUAGCUAGUAGGUGAGGUAAGAGCUCACCUAGGCGACGAUCAGUAGCUGGUCUGAGAGGACGACCAGCCACACUGGAACUGAGACACGGUCCAGACUCCUACGGGAGGCAGCAGUGGGGAAUUUUGGACAAUGGGCGCAAGCCUGAUCCAGCCAUUCCGCGUGAGUGAAGAAGGCCUUCGGGUUGUAAAGCUCUUUCGCAAGGGAAGAAAACUUAACCUCUAACAUAGGUUGAGGCUGACGGUACCUUGAUAAGAAGCACCGGCUAACUACGUGCCAGCAGCCGCGGUAAUACGUAGGGUGCGAGCGUUAAUCGGAAUUACUGGGCGUAAAGCGUGCGCAGGCGGCCUGAUAAGUCAGAUGUGAAAUCCCCGAGCUCAACUUGGGAACUGCGUUUGAAACUAUCAAGCUAGAAUAUGUCAGAGGGGGGUAGAAUUCCACGUGUAGCAGUGAAAUGCGUAGAGAUGCGGAGGAAUACCAAUGGCGAAGGCAGCCCCCUGGGAUAAUAUUGACGCUCAUGCACGAAAGCGUGGGGAGCAAACAGGAUUAGAUACCCUGGUAGUCCACGCCCUAAACGAUGUCUACUAGUUGUUGGUGGAGUAAAAUCCAUGAGUAACGCAGCUAACGCGUGAAGUAGACCGCCCUGGGGGAGUACGGUCGCAAGAUUAAAAACUCAAAGGGAAUUGACGG
rnacentral:rRNA from 1 species